AUUGAACGCUGGCGGAAUGCUUUACACAUGCAAGUCGAACGGCAGCACGGGUGCUUGCACCUGGUGGCGAGUGGCGAACGGGUGAGUAAUACAUCGGAACGUACCCUGACGUGGGGGAUAACCCAGCGAAAGUUGUGCUAAUACCGCAUACGUCCUGAGGGAGAAAGCGGGCGAUCGCAAGACCUCGCGCGUUAGGAGCGGCCGAUGGCGGAUUAGCUAGUUGGUGGGGUACAGGCUCACCAAGGCGACGAUCCGUAGAUGGUCUGCGAGGACGACCAGCCACACUGGAACUGAGACACGGUCCAGACUCCUACGGGAGGCAGCAGUGGGGAAUUUUGGACAAUGGGCGAAAGCCUGAUCCAGCCAUUCCGCGUGAGUGAAGAAGGCCUUCGGGUUGUAAAGCUCUUUCGGCAGGAACGAAACGGUGUGGGCCAAUACCCUGCAUCAAUGACGGUACCUGAAGAAGAAGCACCGGCUAACUACGUGCCAGCAGCCGCGGUAA
rnacentral:rRNA from 1 species